rnacentral:rRNA from 1 species
GUUCCCUGGUUGAUCCUGCCAGUAGUUAUAUGCUUGUCUCAAAGAUUAAGCCAUGCAUGUCUCAGUGCAAGCUGAAAUAAAGUGAAACCGCGAAUGGCUCAUUAAAUCAGUUAUGGUUCCUUUGAUGGUUCCAAGUUACUUGGAUAACUGUGGUAAUUCUAGAGCUAAUACAUGCAACUGAGUCCCGACCGGAAACGGAAAGGACGCUUUUAUUAGAUCAAAACCAUUCGGGUCUCUCGGGGCCCGUUUAUUUUGGUGACUCUGGAUAAUGCACAGCCGAUCGCACGGUCUCCGCACCGGCGACGCUUCUUUCAAAUGUCUGACUUAUCAACUGUCGAUGGUAGGCUCUAUGUCUACCAUGGUUGUAACAGGUGACGGGGAAUCAGGGUUCGAUUCCGGAGAGGGAGCCUGAGAAACAGCUACCACAUCCAAGGAAGGCAGCAGGCACGCAAAUUACCCACUCCCGGCACGGGGAGGUAGUGACGAAAAAUAACGAUACGGGACUCAUCCGAGGCCCCGUAAUCGGAAUGAGAACACUCUAAAUAUUUUACCGAGGAACAAUUGGAGGGUAAGUCUGGUGCCAGCAGCCGCGGUAAUUCCAGCUCCAAUAGCGUAUAUUAAAGUUGUUGCGGUUAAAAAGCUCGUAGUCGGACUUGUGUUCCACCCUGCCGGUUCACCGCCCGUCGGUGUCUAACUGGCAUGCGGUGCGAACGUCCUGCCGGUGGCCCGAUCCGGUUCGGAAAAUAAGGAGCGUGUCGGUGUGUGCCGUGGUUCUUCUUCCCGUCUCUUCCCCUUCGCGGGGGAGGUUGGGGUUGGCCCGGUCGCCCGCGCCUCCGUCCCGUUCGCAGGGGAGGGCCUACUCUAACCCUUCGUGGUGCUCUUAACCGAGUGUCUCGUUGGGCCGGCAAAUUUACUUUGAACAAAUUAGAGUGCUUAAAGCAGGCAAGUGCCGCCUGAAUACUGUGUGCAUGGAAUAAUGGAAUAGGACCUCGGUUCUAUUUUGUUGGUUUUCUGAAUCCCCGAGGUAAUGAUCAAAAGGGACAGACGGGGGCAUUCGUAUUGCGACGUUAGAGGUGAAAUUCUUGGAUCGUCGCAAGACGGACUAAAGCGAAAGCAUUUGCCAAGAAUGUUUUCUCUGAUCAAGAACGAAAGUUAGAGGUUCGAAGGCGAUCAGAUACCGCCCUAGUUCUAACCAUAAACGAUGCCAGCCAGCACUCCGCCGAAGUUCCUCCGAUGACUCGGCGGGUGGCUUUCGGGAAACCAAAGCUUUUGGGUUCCGGGGGAAGUAUGGUUGCAAAGCUGAAACUUAAAGGAAUUGACGGAAGGGCACCACAAGGAGUGGGGCCUGCGGCUUAAUUUGACUCAACACGGGAAAUCUCACCAGGCCCAGACACUGGGAGGAUUGACAGAUUGAGAGCUCUUUCUUGAUUCAGUGGGUGGUGGUGCAUGGCCGUUCUUAGUUGGUGGAGUGAUUUGUCUGGUUAAUUCUGAUAACGAACGAGACUCUAGCCUGCUAACUAGUCGUCCGGAAUCCUUAGUGCUUUCGGCGACUCUGAACCUUCUUAGAGGGACUGGCGGCUUUCAGUCGCACGAGAUUGAGCAAUAACAGGUCUGUGAUGCCCUUAGAUGUUCUGGGCCGCACGCGCGCCACACUGAAGGAAUCAGCGUGUGUUUUCCUUGGCCGAGCGGUCCGGGUAACCCGUUGAACCUCCUUCGUGCUUGGGAUUGGGGAUUGCAAUUAUUCCCCAUGAACGAGGAAUUCCUAGUAAGUGCGAGUCAUAAGCUGGCGUUGAUUAGGUCCCUGCCCUUUGUACACACCGCCCGUCGCUACUACCGAUUGAAUGAUUUAGUGAGGUCUUCGGACCGGUGGGCGCGGGGGCUUCGUGCCUCUUCGAUUCCGCCGGGAAGAUGCCCGAACUUGAUCAUUUAGAGGAAGUAAAAGUCGUAACAAGGUUUUCGUAGGUGAACCUGCGAAAGGAUCAUUA